rnacentral:rRNA from 1 species
CCUACGGGAUGCAGCAGUGGGGAAUCUUGGACAAUGGGCGCAAGCCUGAUCCAGCCAUGCCGCGUGAGUGAAGAAGGCCUUAGGGUCGUAAAGCUCUUUCACCGGUGAAGAUAAUGACGGUAACCGGAGAAGAAGCCCCGGCUAACUUCGUGCCAGCAGCCGCGGUAAUACGAAGGGGGCUAGCGUUGUUCGGAAUUACUGGGCGUAAAGCGCGCAGGCGGAUAGAUAAGUCAGAGGUGAAAUCCCGGGGCUCAACCCCGGAAUUGCCUUUGAUACUGUUUAUCUUGAGUGCAGAAGAGGUAAGUGGAAUUCCGAGUGUAGAGGUGAAAUUCGUAGAUAUUCGGAGGAACACCAGUGGCGAAGGCGGCUUACUGGUCUGCAACUGACGCUGAGGCGCGAAAGCGUGGGGAGCAAACAGGAUUAGAUACCCGCGUAGUC